UGCUUGGGGAAGGACAAACACCAGAGGAGGUUCCUGAUGCAACCUUGAGAUUUCAGCCAUCCAUGUUAUCAACGGCC